rnacentral:rRNA from 1 species
GACGAACGCUGGCGGCGUGCCUAAUACAUGCAAGUAGAACGCUGAAGAGAGGAGCUUGCUCUUCUUGGAUGAGUUGCGAACGGGUGAGUAACGCGUAGGUAACCUGCCUGGUAGCGGGGGAUAACUAUUGGAAACGAUAGCUAAUACCGCAUAAAAUUGAUUAUUGCAUGAUAAUUAAUUGAAAGAUGCAAUUGCAUCACUACCAGAUGGACCUGCGUUGUAUUAGCUAGUUGGUGAGGUAACGGCUCACCAAGGCGACGAUACAUAGCCGACCUGAGAGGGUGAUCGGCCACACUGGGACUGAGACACGGCCCAGACUCCUACGGGAGGCAGCAGUAGGGAAUCUUCGGCAAUGGGGGGAACCCUGACCGAGCAACGCCGCGAGAGUGAAGAAGGUUUUCGGAUCGUAAAGCUCUGUUGUAAGAGAAGAACGGGUGUGAGAGUGGAAAGUCACACUGGA